GAUGAAGAACGUAGCGAAAUGCGAUAAGUAAUGUGAAUUGCAGAAUUCCGUGAAUCAUCGAAUCUUUGAACGCACAUUGCGCCCCCUGGUAUUCCGGGGGGCAUGCCUGUUCGAGCGUCAUUUCACCACUCAAGCCUCGCUUGGUAUUGGGCAACGCGGUCCGCCGCGUGCCUCAAAUCGACCGGCUGGGUCUUCUGUCCCCUAAGCGUUGUGGAAACUAUUCGCUAAAGGGUGUUCGGGAGGCUACGCCGUAAAACAACCCCAUUUCUAAGGUUGACCUCGGAUCAGGUAGGGAUACCCGCUGAACUUAAGCAUAUCAAUAACGGAGGA
rnacentral:misc_RNA from 1 species